AUUGAACGCUGGCGGCAUGCCUUACACAUGCAAGUCGAACGGUAACAGGUCUUCGGAUGCUGACGAGUGGCGAACGGGUGAGUAAUACAUCGGAACGUGCCUAGUAGUGGGGAUAACUACUCGAAAGAGUGGCUAAUACCGCAUGCGAUCUACGGAUGAAAGCAGGGGAUCGCAAGACCUUGUGCUACUAGAGCGGCCGAUGGCAGAUUAGGUAGUUGGUGGGAUAAAAGCUUACCAAGCCGACGAUCUGUAGCUGGUCUGAGAGGACGAUCAGCCACACUGGGACUGAGAAACGGCCCAGACUCCUACGGGAGGCAGGAGUGGGGAAUUUUGGACAAUGGGCGCAAGCCUGAUCCAGCAAUGCCGCGUGCAGGAUGAAGGCCUUCGGGUUGUAAACUGCUUUUGUACGGAACGAAAAGCCCCGGGUUAAUACCCUGGGGUCAUGACGGUACCGUAAGAAUAAGCACCGGCUAACUACUUGCCAGCCGCCGCCGUAA
rnacentral:rRNA from 1 species